AUCAUACUCCCUCCGUCCGAAAAUAUUUGUCAUAGAGAUGAAUGUAUUUAGACUUAUUUUAGUUAUAGCUACAUNCAUUAUAUCCAUUUUUAGGACACGUAUUUCCGGUCCGAGGGAGUACUAU
rnacentral:pre_miRNA from 1 species